CCCUUAGAUGUUCGGGGCCGCACGCGCGCUACACUGAAGGAAUCAGCACGUCUUUCUCCUUGUCCGAAAGGACUGGGUAACCCGCUGAACCUCCUUCGUGCUAGGGAUUGGGGCUUGUAAUUCUUCCCCAUGAACGAGGAAUUCCCAGUAAGCGCGAGUCAUAAGCUCGCGUUGAUUACGUCCCUGCCCUUUGUACACACCGCCCGUCGCUACUACCGACUGGAUGGUUUAGUGAGAUCCUCGGAUUGGUCCCGGCGCGGCCUCUGGUCGUGCCGGAGUGCCGAAAAGAAUGUCGAACUUGAUCAUCUAGAGGAAGUAAAAGUCGUAACA
rnacentral:rRNA from 1 species